rnacentral:rRNA from 1 species
AUCGAACGCUGGCGGCAGGCCUAACACAUGCAAGUCGUACGAGUGGCGGACAGGUGAGAAACGUAUGGGAAAUUGCCUGCAGGAGGGGGUUAACUACUGGAAACGGUAGCUAAUACCGCAUACCAUCAGAUGUGCCCAGAUGGGAUUAGCUUGUUGGUGGGGUAACGGUUCACCAAGGCGACGAUCCCUAGCUGGUCCGAGAGGAUGACCCGCCACGCGGGAGCUGAGACACGGUCCAGACCCCUACGGGAGGCAGCAGUGGGGAAUAUUGCACAAUGUGCGCAAGCCUGAUGCAGGCAUGCCGCGUGUAUGAAGAGGGCCUUCGGGGUGUAAAGUACUUUUAGCGGGGAGGCGUUACCCGCAGAAGAAGCACCGGCUAACUCCGUGCCAGCAGCCGCGGUAAUU